GUGGGGAAUAUUGCGCAAUGGGCGAAAGCCUGACGCAGCGACGCCGCGUGAGGGAUGAAGGUUUUCGGAUCGUAAACCUCUGUCAGAAGGGAAGAAACUACGUUGUGCUAAUCAGCAGCGUACUGACGGUACCUUCAAAGGAAGCACCGGCUAACUCCGUGCCAGCAGCCGCGGUAAUACGGAGGGUGCAAGCGUUAAUCGGAAUUACUGGGCGUAAAGCGCACGUAGGCUGUAGUGUAAGUCAGGGGUGAAAUCCCACGGCUCAACCGGGGAACUGCCUUUGAUACUGCACAACUUGAAUCCGGGAGAGGGUGGCGGAAUUCCAGGUGUAGGAGUGAAAUCCGUAGAUAUCUGGAGGAACAUCAGUGGCGAAGGCGGCCACCUGGACCGGUAUUGACGCUGAGGUGCGAAAGCGUGGGGAGCGAACGGGAUUAGAUACCCGGGUAGUCC
rnacentral:rRNA from 1 species